rnacentral:lncRNA from 1 species
CACUGAAAUACAAACAUCCCCACUAAUACAACUUUCACCCAACUUUCAGCAACAGUGACACUAAAAUUAAAUUGAAAAUAAAGUUCACAAACAUCAUCCCCACUAAGAUUUUAAACCACUUUUCCAACCUAAGUAAGGUUUUCUCCAUAGAAGCCAUUCUCAUCUUUUCAAGAUAACUUUCUUCCAUACUCAUCAAACCCACUUCUUCAGCUCGUGCAAUAGCACUCCUUUCUUCUACCACUCCUUGAUUUCCUUCUUCCAAGCACCACUCAAAGAAGUUGCACCCAACCAAUUCGUCAUUCCCACCCUGUUCAAGAACAACACAAAGAGCUUCGUCAAAACCCAAAAUUUAGG